UACGGAGGGGGCUAGCGUUGUCCGAAGUUACUGGGCGUAAAGCGCGCGUAGGCGGGUUGGUAAGGCCGCUGUGAAAGCCCGGAGCUCAACUCCGGAGGGUCGGUGGAUACUGCCAGUCUUGAAGGUGCUAGGGGGAGAUGGAAUUACCGGUGUAGCGGUGAAAUGCGUAGAUAUCGGUAGGAACACCAGUGGCGAAGGCGGUCUCCUGGGGCAUUCUUGACGCUGAGGCGCGAAAGCUGGGGGAGCGAACGGG
rnacentral:rRNA from 1 species